AAGAAGGGAGAAAAUGCCUUGUCUGGACCAAAAUGCCUUGUUGUUGUCAGAGCUCUGAAGAAAAUGGGAUGACUGAUUGGAGAUGAUAGAAACCUAACAGGCAGCCACA